rnacentral:misc_RNA from 1 species
AAUCCUCAACUUCAGAACACUAUUGUUGUUUCUUGAAGCUUGGACUAUGGAGGCUUUGCCGGCUAAAAUAUGGUCAGCUCCUCUUAAAUGCAUUAGCAGAACCUUUCAAGGAACUGGCUCCAGUUUGAUAAAUGUCUAUCUAUGCUGUUGCCAAUUGUCUAACCUUUGCGUGUUCAGCUUCUAAUGGUCUUUUUAAAGACUGUCUCUAUUGAGGCAUACACUUUUAA